CGCAUGGCCGCGGUGUAGGCCUGGCCCAAAUUGCACUGCAGCAUGUAGAGGAGCGACUCCCCCACCACCUGCAAGAGAUCCAAACAAACACAAGUUGAGAAGAAAAUCCCCCAAGGAGUGAAGAUCGUCCAGGUGGCUGACGGCGGCAUCGAUCACAAGCAUCACCUGGAAUCAGUGAGACCAACCACCAGUGAAGAAAAUGGCUUUCCCAGCUGCUCCGGAUCAGCUCCUUGUCCUUCCCUGACAGCGUCUCCAUCCUCCUCGGGGGGCUUCAAGUUCUUCUGGAGGGGAAACACGCAGCUCCUCUAAAGGACAAGAUGGCUCGGUUCUGGCAGAGCCAUAACACCGGAGAUGAUGCUCAAGACAAAACUUCUGCACCUGCAAAACAAAGUGGAGCAUCAAGUGAUGCGGACGGGAGCUGCGGGAGUGAGGACGUGCAUGCGCAAAAACAUACACACCUUCCCAAAAGUUAUUAUUCAUGCCACAGAAGGAGAAAAGG